rnacentral:rRNA from 1 species
GGACGAACGCUGGCGGCGUGCUUAACACAUGCAAGUCGAACGGAAAGGCCCUGCUUGCAGGGUACUCGAGUGGCGAACGGGUGAGUAACACGUGGGUGAUCUGCCCUGCACUUCGGGAUAAGCCUGGGAAACUGGGUCUAAUACCGGAUAGGAGCCAUUUUUAGUGUGAUGGUUGGAAAGUUUUUUCGGUGUAGGAUGAGCUCGCGGCCUAUCAGCUUGUUGGUGGGUAAUGGCCUACCAAGGCGGCGACGGGUAGCCGGCCUGAGAGGGUGGACGGCCACAUUGGGACUGAGAUACGGCCCAGACUCCUACGGGAGGCAGCAGUGGGGAAUAUUGCACAAUGGGCGCAAGCCUGAUGCAGCGACGCCGCGUGGGGGAUGACGGCCUUCGGGUUGUAAACUCCUUUCGCUAGGGACGAAGCUUUUGUGACGGUACCUAGAUAAGAAGCACCGGCUAACUACGUG